AAACCCUAGCCGCUCCAUACCACCAUCCUACCCCUCUCUUUCUCUCUGAAAACUCUGGAGACUGGAGUGAAGAACCCAGCCCCAAACCUCCUUGGAGCAGCACCCAGCCACCAUCCACUCUUCGUCGCCGAACUCUUCUCCUCGGCAGGAGGGUGCUGUCGUCGCUCAACGUUCCUCUUCUCCUCGCCCUAUUCUCGUCGUCUGCUCGUGGUUGCUCGAUCCUCCUCUGGCGACGUUCCUCCCUCGGCAGAUCUGCUGGGAGCUACUCUCGUCAUCAACGUCUCUGCCCUCGUCAUGAAGCCCGCCUCUUCCCUCAUCAUCAAGCCCGUCUCUGCUCGGAGCUCUUCUCGUCGCCAUCGUGUCUCUCUCUUCAAGCUCUCUGUCUCCCUCCCACGGUUGCUUACUCACAGUAGCAACCCUUGCUUUCACCUUCAUCCUCCGACGGUUGUUCAAGUCCACUGCUCUUCUGACUUUGAGUUAAUUUUUCUGGAUUUGAGUUAUUUUUUUUUGAAAUAAUAUGGUUGAUUGUUGAUGGUAUUUUGUUAAUUGUGUUGAUUUCUGAUUUUAUUGUCUAAUUGUAAUGGAUUUUAAUUUCUGAGUUUGUCAUCUGAACUUCUGUUGAUUGUGUUCUGAAUUUCUGAUGUUGCAUGUGUUGUUGGUUUGUUGAUAAGAUAGAAAUUGUAUAAAUCCCGGUUGGUGUGUUGUUGGUGUUGUUAACUGUAUUUGAUUUGUGCAAGUUUGUAUUGGUGAUGGUUGCUGCUUAUAAAUUUUUAUUGCAAGGUGUCUGAGAAGAAGGCUGAAGAAAGUUGAGCCCUCUUGAAAGCUGAGCAUUAGCUUGGGAUGAAGCAAAACGUGAAUUUUGCAGAUGGUUCAGGUCACAGUAGUCCUUGUGUCAGUUGUGUGAGGGUGAGGCACAUGUUUGAGAAUGAGAUGACACCAAUGCUAGCCAAGAGCCUUCAAGAACCAGUACGCGGAUUCGAGCCAAUACUCCGGCAACUAGGAGUCUAAUUCACUCUGGGGCUUCAACUCCGGUGAUGCCCCGAAAUGGUGGGAUGGAAAUUGGAAUCUCAUUCUGGCGAGGGUCAUCAAGGAUCAUGGAAUCCUUCUUGCAAGGUGUCUGAGAAGAAGGCUGAAGAUCAUGCAAGGAAGUUGAGCCCUCUUGAAAGCUGAGCAUUGGCUUGGGAUGAAGCAGAAUGUGCCAAGUAUAUGCCCAGGUUCAGGCAUGAAGAGGUGAGGAUUCAAUCAUGUUA